GAUGAACGCUGGCGGCGUGCCUAAUACAUGCAAGUCGAGCGAACGGACGAGAAGCUUUCUUCUCUGAUGUUAGCGGCGGACGGGUGAGUAACACGUGGAUAACCUACCUAUAAGACUGGGAUAACUUCGGGAAACCGGAGCUAAUACCGGAUAAUAUUUUGAACCGCGUGGUUCAAAAGUGAAAGACGGUCUUGCUGUCACUUAUAGAUGGAUCCGCGCUGCAUUAGCUAGUUGGUAAGGUAACGGCUUACCAAGGCAACGAUGCAUAGCCGACCUGAGAGGGUGAUCGGCCACACUGGAACUGAGACACGGUCCAGACUCCUACGGGAGGCAGCAGUAGGGAAUCUUCCGCAAUGGGCGAAAGCCUGACGGAGCAACGCCGCGUGAGUGAUGAAGGUCUUCGGAUCGUAAAACUCUGUUAUUAGGGAAGAACAUAUGUGUAAGUAACUGUGCACAUCUUGACGGUACCUAAUCAGAAAGCCACGGCUAACUACGUG
rnacentral:rRNA from 1 species